rnacentral:rRNA from 1 species
CCUACGGGAGGCAGCAGUGAGGAAUAUUGGUCAAUGGCCGGAAGGCUGAACCAGCCAAGUCGCGUGAGGGACGACUGCCCUAUGGGUUGUAAACCUCUUUUAUAAGGGAAGAAUAAAUGCUACGUGUAGCCUGAUGCCUGUACCUUAUGAAUAAGCAUCGGCUAACUCCGUGCCAGCAGCCGCGGUAAUACGGAGGAUGCGAGCGUUAUCCGGAUUUAUUGGGUUUAAAGGGUGCGUAGGCGGUUUUUUAAGUUAGUGGUUAAACGUCGGGGCUUCACCUUGAUUUGCCAUUAAUACUGUAAGACUAGAGUACAGACGAGGUAGGCGGAAUAAGUUAAGUAGCGGUGAAAUGCUUAGAUAUAACUUAGAACUCCGAUAGCGAAGGCAGCUUACCAGACUGCGACUGACGCUGAAGCACGAGAGCGUGGGUAGCGAACAGGAUUAGAUACCCGGGUAGUC